rnacentral:rRNA from 1 species
GGCGGCUGCUAUACAUGCAAGUCGAGCGAACAGAUAAGGAGCUUGCUCCUUUGACGUUAGCGGCGGACGGGUGAGUAACACGUGGGUAACCUACCUAUAAGACUGGGAUAACUUCGGGAAACCGGAGCUAAUACCGGAUAAUAUUUCGAACCGCAUGGUUCGAUAGUGAAAGAUGGUUUUGCUAUCACUUAUAGAUGGACCCGCGCCGUAUUAGCUAGUUGGUAAGGUAACGGCUUACCAAGGCGACGAUACGUAGCCGACCUGAGAGGGUGAUCGGCCACACUGGAACUGAGACACGGUCCAGACUCCUACGGGAGGCAGCAGUAGGGAAUCUUCCGCAAUGGGCGAAAGCCUGACGGAGCAACGCCGCGUGAGUGAUGAAGGUCUUCGGAUCGUAAAACUCUGUUAUUAGGGAAGAACAUACGUGUAAGUAACUGUGCACGUCUUGACGGUACCUAAUCAGAAAGCCACGGCUAACUACGUGCCAGCAGCCGCGGUAAUACGUAGGUGGCAAGCGUUAUCCGGAAUUAUUGGGCGUAAAGCGCGCGUAGGCGGUUUUUUAAGUCUGAUGUGAAAGCCCACGGCUCAACCGUGGAGGGUCAUUGGAAACUGGAAAACUUGAGUGCAGAAGAGGAAAGUGGAAUUCCAUGUGUAGCGGUGAAAUGCGCAGAGAUAUGGAGGAACACCAGUGGCGAAGGCGACUUUCUGGUCUGUAACUGACGCUGAUGUGCGAAAGCGUGGGGAUCAAACAGGAUUAGAUACCCUGGUAGUCCACGCCGUAAACGAUGAGUGCUAAGUGUUAGGGGGUUUCCGCCCCUUAGUGCUGCAGCUAACGCAUUAAGCACUCCGCCUGGGGAGUACGACCGCAAGGUUGAAACUCAAAGGAAUUGACGGGGACCCGCACAAGCGGUGGAGCAUGUGGUUUAAUUCGAAGCAACGCGAAGAACCUUACCAAAUCUUGACAUCCUUUGACAACUCUAGAGAUAGAGCUUUCCCCUUCGGGGGACAAAGUGACAGGUGGUGCAUGGUUGUCGUCAGCUCGUGUCGUGAGAUGUUGGGUUAAGUCCCGCAACGAGCGCAACCCUUAAGCUUAGUUGCCAUCAUUAAGUUGGGCACUCUAAGUUGACUGCCGGUGACAAACCGGAGGAAGGUGGGGAUGACGUCAAAUCAUCAUGCCCCUUAUGAUUUGGGCUACACACGUGCUACAAUGGACAAUACAAAGGGCAGCGAAACCGCGAGGUCAAGCAAAUCCCAUAAAGUUGUUCUCAGUUCGGAUUGUAGUCUGCAACUCGACUACAUGAAGCUGGAAUCGCUAGUAAUCGUAGAUCAGCAUGCUACGGUGAAUACGUUCCCGGGUCUUGUACACACCGCCCGUCACACCACGAGAGUUUGUAACACCCGAAGCCGGUGGAGUAACCAUUGGAGCUAGCCGUCGAAGUGACAGA